GAUGAACGCUGGCGGCGUGCUUAACACAUGCAAGUCGGGCGAAGCGCUUUGGAUUGAUCCUUCGGGAGAUUGAAAGAGUGACUGAGCGGCGGACGGGUGAGUAACGCGUGGGGAACCUGCCUCAUACAGGGGAAUAACAGUUAGAAAUGACUGCUAAUGCCGCAUAAGCGCACGAAGACGCAUGUCUUUGUGUGAAAAACUCCGGUGGUAUGAGAUGGCCCCCGCGUCUGAUUAGCUGGUUGGUGGGGUAACGGCCUACCAAGGCGACGAUCAGUAGCCGGCCUGAGAGGGUGAACGGCCACAUUGGGACUGAGACACGGGCCCAAACUCCUACGGGAGGCAGCAGUGGGGAAUAUUGCACAAUGGGGGAAACCCUGAUGCAGCGACGCCGCGUGAGUGAAGAGUAUUCGGUAUGUAAAGCUCUAUCAGCAGGGAA
rnacentral:rRNA from 1 species